CCUACGGGUGGCAGCAGUGAGGAAUAUUGGUCAAUGGGCGAGAGCCUGAACCAGCCAAGUCGCGUGAGGGAGUACUGCCCUAUGGGUUGUAAACCUCAUUUGUCGGGGAGCAAAAGCCGGACGUGUCCGGCUGUGAGAGUACCCCAAGAAACAGCAUCGGCUCAGUCCGUGCCAGCAGCCGCGGUAAUACGGAGGGUGCUAGUGUUAAUCGGAAUUACUGGGCGGAAAGGGUUAGCAGGAGGUUUUGCAAGGUGGAUGUGAAAGCCCCGGGCUUAACCUGGGAAAGCCAUACAUGACUGCAAGACUAGGGUGCGUCAGAGGGGGGUGGAAUUCCAAGUGUAGCAGUGAAAUGCGU
rnacentral:rRNA from 1 species